CGUGUUGCAGUGACGUCGGCUCUGUCUGCGAGUUCCAGAAUUCUCAAACAUCUCAGGAAUGCUGGUUGGCGCGGGCUGCUGCCAAGCGCCUCCCCUGGCUCCGUUGCACCUUUUUUUUUUUUUUUUGGUCCUGGACCCGUCAAGAAAACAAUCUUCCGUUUUUUCCACUUUAAAUAACUACUUCUAUUGGGGAGGGCUCUUUCUGGCGUUUUGGUGCUGAUGAUGGUGGUGGAAUGGGUGAGGGGGGCGAGCUCAGAACUUUGCCUGCCCUGGGAGGGUGGGAGGACCUGGGAGGGAGGAACAAAAGUGGUUUUGUCUGGUGAUGCCGAGUUGACCGGGCAGACUUGGAAGCCCUCACCCCGGAAGGCAGCGAACUGUUUGCUUGUUUACAGAGAAGUAAACCACAGCAUCAGAGGAGAGGAACUGCAGCUCCUCACAUCCUUCUUAAGGAUGGUCCAGAAACCCCAGAUGUCCCGUCGCCUUUUCGCCUCCUCCACUGAGAGCAGCAGAUCAGUUCACGUUGACAGAUUAGAGGGGAAAUGUGCAAUUGUUUAUGGCUUCAGCUGUACAAAAAGGAGCCCUGGUAGAUUCUGCUGAGACUUUUCAGUAGAAAAUCCUUCAAAAAAGAAAAAAGAAGGAAAGAAAGAAGCAGCUAUUUUGAAGACUGACUUUCUAAAAUUAUAUUUAGCCUUCCAAUAGACACCAGAUCGCUGAUGCCCUGUCCCAAACAUAAAUCCCGUUCUGUUUACCAAUCCCUCAAAAUCUUCAUGACCUUCAUAUAUAAUGGUCAUUUUCAAGGAUCUGGCAAGCCUGCCGGUUUGGUAAUGCAAGGCAGAAGAUAGUUUUCUCCAUGCCGUGGGGAGCAUGGCUUCUAGUUGCUUUGGUCUCUCAUCUCAUCCUAGCAGACCUUCUACCAUCAAAGAAAGAAGAUUUCUUCCCCUUUGGCUCCAUCCUAUAAACAGUCUCAAGAAUGACGUACAUUGGAUCAGCGGAGGUUGUGUAGUCCUUCCCCAACCAGACACCAAGCCAGGAAGAUGUGUUUCAUUGAUAUAAUGGACAUACAACACUGCAUAUGUUUAAGUCAUACGGCAUAAUGAUGUACAUACAGAUUGUGAAGUGAUUACCGCAAAUUUAACGUCUACAAUGGAUGGCAGUAUUAAUUUCAAAAGCUUAAUUUCUAGUAGCUAUAGGGUAUCCCGCAGGUAUGGAGUACCAUGAUUUAUUUAGCUAUUACCUUAUUGUAGAGCUUUCUAGUUGUUCCCAAUUUUUUUUAAAUGAACAGUUUCCUAAGCAGGUUGUUAGCCACAAUACCUAGCACUUAGUUACUCAAUAAAAAAAGUAUUGACUUGAUUGAAGAUAUUAUCAUCUACUAAGAUCCUAGCACAAAUAGGUGUAUUGGGUUUAAGUAGAGACUUAGGAGGAAUCUGAAUGAAUGAACUCCAGAAGGAAUACAUCUUGGUUAUGAGGAGGGCAGUUUAAGGUAGGCUGAGAGAGUUAGUGGGGAUGGAGUUGCUAAUGGUGUGUGGGGUGGGAAGAGGGAGCUUUGAAGAACUUCUAAGAUGAAUUUUGACUAUGUCACAGUUUGACCUACUGAGGGAAGGAUUGGGUGACUGUUUGGUUCUCCCAUGCUUCUGAAGAAGUAGCUGGUUUGUCAAGUGAUCCUGUUUUCUGUUUUUGCAGUCCUUCCUUUGAAAGCUAACUUGUGCUCUUUAAAUUUACUUGAAUGUAUGACUUAGACUAAUGUGACAAGGAAAUACCAUAUUCUUAGAUUCCAGUAUGUGUUAAGAUGGGUAUAGUCAUUUCUGGAAAUUCCAAAAUCAGAUCUGUGUGAACUCUUCCAGGAGAUGUGACUAGGCCAGCCCAAGAGGGCUCUCCCCCAAGCAGAGACAAGCAGAUGGAAGCUGGAAGCACCAUUUUCACCCUAAUGGGAUAAGGACAGGCCCAGCACACUGCACUAGCAAUAUUAAAUUGUCUGGUGUUUUGAUGAUGUUCACAUGGGCUCCUCCAGAAUGCCAGUUCCCAGACCAUGUAGAACUAACACUGCCUGUUUUGACUUAGAGCCAAACCUACUCUACUUUCAGACUAUGUGAAAAUUGUCAUAAUACUCAAAUAAGCAAUUAAUGGUGCAAGUGGUAGUAAUAUUAGAGUUCAGCAUAUUUGUUUAAUUUAAUUAAGCAUUUAAUUUCCUUCUGGUGUUUUUUAUAAAAGAAAAACAAGAGAGAGGAAAAAUAACCUCAGUUAUUAACUACUUUCAGCUUUUCAGUUAUUACCUCUUAGGCUGUGGCAAACUGUGAGUCUUUUAAAAGAAAACACAAUUUAAAGUAACGUAAAAAAUUAUGUUUAAACUUUCAGAAGACAAUGGAAAUAUAAUUCCCAUUAAAAGGUAUAUUGCUUUCACCAUGUUCCUUAGAAUAAAUAUUAUAAAGUAAUAUAAAAUUAUAUAGAAUACAAUAUUAUAGUGAUAAAAAUCCUGAAGACUAUUCCCCAAAAUGUUAGCCAUUCUUCAUCAGUUACUAUUCAUCAGUGUUUCCUGGCAAUGCCUAGCUUCUUCUCCUGAUCUCCUCCUUACCAGCUAAUGACCAUUUCUGAAGAUCACCAGAAUGUUACAAUAAGGCAGACCACAUUGCAAAGCUCAAGAAAUAUUAACAAGUUGAAAGGAAGGAUAUAACUGAAAGGAUAAUCCCUAAAAUUAAUUAGGAUGUCAGAAAGAGUUCUUGGCAAAAAGUAAAUUAGAGUUGAAACAUCUUUCUUUUCUUCUUAAAAAUGCAUGAAAGUAUGAUUCCUGUUUUUCUACAUAAUAUUUUUAUCCC